GGGGCCUUAGCUCAGCUGGGAGAGCGCAUCGCUGGCAGCGAUGAGGUCAGGGGUUCGAUCCCCCUUGGCUCCACCA
rnacentral:tRNA from 1 species